CAGUGAGUGGAAUGAGGUGGGGGAGUGAGAGGAGAGAGUAGGAGCAGAGAUGGGAAGCCUGGCCAGUGGAGGCAUCCCAGGCCUGCUCUGAGGAGGUGCCAUAGCCCUGAGAGACCGAGGUCAGUGACCUAACACAGCAGACAGCUGAGCUCACAGGCCUCCGCGACCCGGAGGAGGAACCUCAAGGAGGAACCGGACCCCUCCUCGCAGGGCUGCUACCGCCACACAGAAGGGGCCCAUUCUGCUUACAGGCCAUUCCUGCCACCAGUUUCCCUCCGCCCGACCUCCAUUGCCUGGGUGCUCAAUCCUCCGAAACUCUAUGCCAUCCCCUUUUUAGUCCUGCCUCCCAACGUUCUGAAAAGAUGAAGAAGGCAUCCUUGUCACCUCGAGGUUGGUGACCCCGGUAGAUCAAAUGGCAAGCAUGAGUGUCAGGGGUGAUUUGAGAAGAAAGAUGGAAGUUUGCAAAAUGAGAUUUUAUAGAUGGAAUCUCACCAUAAGAAAUUUGAGAGUUCAUAACUAUUCUGAAAAUAGUUGUUAUCUGCAUUAAGACAACUGUAUAAAUAAAGGAAUCAGUGAUGCAGCCGGUUGGAGAGUU
rnacentral:lncRNA from 1 species